UUCGUAGGCGGUGUGGCAAGUCGGGAGUGAAAUCUCUGGGCUUAACCCAGAGACUGCUUCCGAAACUGCUGUGCUUGAGUGUGGGAGAGGCGCGUGGAAUUGCAGGUGUAGCGGUGAAAUGCGUAGAUAUCUGCAGGAACACCCGUGGCGAAAGCGGCGCGCUGGACCACUACUGACGCUGAGGAACAAAGCUAGGGGAGCAAACA
rnacentral:rRNA from 1 species